rnacentral:rRNA from 1 species
AUUGAACGCUGGCGGCAUGCUUUACACAUGCAAGUCGAACGGUAACAGGUUAAGCUGACGGGUGGCGAACGGGUGAGUAAUGCAUCGGAACGUGCCCGGUCGUGGGGGAUAACGCAGCGAAAGCUGCGCUAAUACCGCAUACGAUCUGAGGAUGAAAGCGGGGGACGGUAAGGCCUCGCGCGAUCGGAGCGGCCGAUGUCAGAUUAGGUAGUUGGUGGGGUAAAGGCUCACCAAGCCGACGAUCUGUAGCUGGUCUGAGAGGACGACCAGCCACACUGGGACUGAGGCACGGCCCAGACUCCUACGGGAGUCAGCAGUGGGGAAUUUUGGACAAUGGGCGCAAGCCUGAUCCAGCAAUGCCGCGUGCAGGAAGAAGGCCUUCGGGUUGUAAACUGCUUUUGUACGGAGCGAAAAGGCUCUCUCUAAUACGGGGUGCUCAUGACGGUACCGUAAGAAUAAGCACCGGCUAACUACGUGCCAGCCGCCGCCGUAA